AUGAACGCUGGCGGCGUGCCUAAUCCAUGCAAGUCGCGCGAACAGACGAGGAGCUUGCUCCUCUGACGUUAGCGGCGGACGGGUGAGUAACACGUGGAUAACCUACCUAUAAGACUGGGAUAACUUCGGGAAACCGGAGCUAAUACCGGAUAAUAUAUUGAACCGCAUGGUUCAAUAGUGAAAGACGGUUUUGCUGUCACUUAUAGAUGGAUCCGCGCCGCAUUAGCUAGUUGGUAAGGUAACGGCUUACCAAGGCAACGAUGCGUAGCCGACCUGAGAGGGUGAUCGGCCACACUGGAACUGAGACACGGUCCAGACUCCUACGGGAGGCAGCAGUAGGGAACCUUCCGCAAUGGGCGAAAGCCUGACGGAGCAACGCCGCGUGAGUGAUGAAGGUCUUCGGAUCGUAAAACUCUGUUAUUAGGGAAGAACAAAUGUGUAAGUAACUAUGCACGUCUUGACGGUACCUAAUCAGAAAGCCACGGCUAACUACGUG
rnacentral:rRNA from 1 species